rnacentral:snRNA from 1 species
AUCACUUCUCGGCCUUUUGGCUAAGAUCAAGUGUAGUGUUUGUUCUUAUCAGUUUAAUAGCUGAUACGUCCUCGAUGAGAGGACUUUAUAGUAAAUGGAUUUUUGGGCUCAGUCUAUUCUUUUAUUUAUUUUUUCGCCAGGGGAGGUUUAGGUUGGAUAUUAGGAAAAACUUC